GAGGGUACAGCUCAAGUGGUAGAGCGCAUGCUUGGCACCCAAGAGGUCCCGGGUCCGAUCCCCGGUACCUCCA
rnacentral:tRNA from 1 species